AACAAUUUUUCUACCAAAUUCCAUCAAGAGUUAUUUCUGAGCUCAGACAGAGAGGAACAUUCAGCUCUCCAAAGUGACCACAGAGAGGUUUGUCCUGUCCUUUAAUCUCCAAACACAAUGGUAAAGUGAUUGCCAGUGAUUUUAUUCUAUUCUGUGCCCAGGACAAUGGGACUGUUCAGCUGUCUGAAAGAGCUAAUACAUACUUUAUGAUGAGAAAGGAACAACCAAAGCUACCAAGGAAAGCAAAUCACUUCUGCUCUGGGAGGAGCUCACACAGUUUGCUGAGGGUAUUGAAGAUCACGCUCCGCUGCACACAGAGGCUUCAAGACUUCAGUGAGCUUAUCCUGCCCAUCACUUGUGACUGGAUCAAAUUGAGCCUGGGUGAUAAUGAACCAAGGAGUAAUAAUAAAGCCUUACUUGAUUCAUUUAAAUUUUGGAGGAAAGUGUGCAGAAUAAUGUGUUUUAGCUGUGCUAAUGAAAUUUAGCCAGCCAUUAUCAUCCUGCAUCAAUGUGCACAGCUCUGAGGAUCUGAGAAUCUCUGUGUGAAUUAAUGAUGCAUCUCUAUAUCUGCAUGAAAAAGAUGGACGGCUGUGACAACGUUUACAUCUGAUACUAUUAGAGCCUCUCCAAUGAUAAUCAUUAACAAGUCCAUUAAUGAGAGCAUAUUUCCCUGAGGCCCUAUGGCCAUUCAACAUUGUAAUCUAAAUCUAUACUCUCCAGAAACUCUAUUAGAAAGCAAUGAAGUAAGUCCCUGAACUAUACAAAGGUUAUCAGCCACAUUAUCUCACUGAGCAAAAAAAGAUGAGGGAGGCUUCCAUAAGUACUGGCAGUUUAGAAGAUGGAAAUGUACAACAGCAUUACAAAUACAUUGGCUGAAAGCUGCAUUCCAGUGGCUUCAAGCAACUCGUACUCAAACCCUUAACUUGCAGAAGAGUGUAUUCAACUGGAAUAACAAAGUCCAGAAACUUAUCAGACUAAUAAAUAUAAUCACCUAAUAAUAAUUUUAAAACCU
rnacentral:lncRNA from 1 species